rfam:Sus scrofa chromosome 7.
CUAAUGGCUCUUAUUAGAGCCAUUAUCAUAGUUCUGAAGAAAAAAU